GCGACUGUAAACAUCCUCGACUGGAAGCUGUGAAGGCACAGAUGGGCUUUCAGUCGGAUGUUUGCAGCUGC
rnacentral:pre_miRNA from 1 species